UUCCAACUGCUCAGCUCAGACAGAAAGCUAAGGUUGGAAAAUCAGCCUUAAUCGGACUCCACAUAGGCAAACAUGACAAACAAAAUAUAUUCUCCGUGGGGAACUCAGAAUCAAGACAAGGUAUAAAAAGACCAGAGCCCCAAGAGAAGAGGUGCAGCUGUUCCUCCUGCUGGUUCCUGCUCCUGCUGCUGGUUUAUCAAGUGGUUGUGAGAAAAGAGGUUCAGAAGACUUUGGGAUGAGAUCAGCUGUCAAGGCGGAUGCCAGAGCUCUUUCCUCAGAGAGGAGGUGGCCUUGAAGGAAGUCACCAGCCAUGGACUGAUGAUUAUAUGCAGCAGGGGCGUAUAUGGAAAAUGUUCGGCUUUUGCCCCUCUGCCCCAGGACAGAACAAUUCAGCUGUCACCUGUCAUCUCCUCUGGAAACUAAUUAGAAAACGUCCUGCCCUUUCAUGGAGAGUGAGCCCUUCAAGAGUUCAGGUUCAAGAGUUCAUACUAUGUGUUAGUCCCCACUUCCUAGCUCAAACUCCUGCCCCACUGAGCAGUAAGGCCCAAGAAAACAUCAGUGGCUACACCACCCAACAAUACCCCAAAGUCAAGUCAGGUCGGGCUCAGUCACUCCACGCACUCUGCUCCCUAUGAAGCACAAAGCUCACCAACAUUAACUAAUAUUUCCAAAGAAGUAGCAAAGCCUCUCUCUAAAAAUUUAAAUGUAACCUGUUUUUUUUUUAUUUUUUUUAAAUUUACUUUAUAUCCCAAGGGUGCCCCUUCCCUCCUCUCCUCCCAAUGGCUCCCUUUCCCCCUCCAUCUGCCCCCUCCCUUUCCCCCCAAGAAAAGGGGAGCCCCCCAUAUCAGCUUGCCCCAGCACAUCAAGUCACAUCAGGACUGGGCAUAUCUUCAUCCCCUGAGGCCAAGCAAGACAGCCCUGCCAGGGGGAAGUGAUCCAAAACAGGCAAUAGAGUUCAUGUUAGAAACAGGGCCCCUCCACUCUCCAGGCCCCCUAUGAAGACCACGCCCCUCAUCAGCUACAUGUGAGGGGCCUAGGUCCAGACCAUGCCUGCUCCUUAGUUGAUGUCUCAGUCUCUGGAAGCCCCCAUGGGACUGAAUCCUGUUUUUUAUGUUUUGUUUUGUUUUUGUU